AGACUAUACUAGAGUUUGAUCCUGGCUCAGGAUGAACGCUGGCGGCGUGCCUAACACAUGCAAGCCGAGCGGCAGCGCGAGUAGUUUACUACUUGGCGGCGAGCGGCGGACGGCUGAGUAACGCGUGGGAACGUGCCCCAAAGUGAGGAAUAACCGCCCGAAAGGGUAGCUAAUGCCGCAUAUGAUCUUCGGAUUAAAGAAUUUAUUCGCUUUGGGAGCGGCCCGCGUACGAUUAGAUAGUUGGUGAGGUAAUGGCUCACCAAGUCUACGAUCGUUAACCGGUUUGAGAGGAUGAUCAGUCAGACUGGAACUGAGACACGGUCCAGACUCCUACGGGAGGCAACAGUGAGGAAUCUUCCACAAUGGGCGAAAGCCUGAUGGAGCAACGCCGCGUGCAGGAUGAAGGCCUUCGGGUCGUAAACUGCUUUUAUAAGUGAAGAAUAUGACGGUAACUUAUGAAUAAGGAUCGGCUAACUACGUGCCAGCCGCCGCGGUAAU
rnacentral:rRNA from 1 species